UACGUAGGGGGCAAGCGUUGUCCGGAUUUAUUGGGCGUAAAGCGCGUGUAGGUGGCCAAGUAGGUCCGCUGUGAAAACUUGAGGCUCAACCUCAAGCUGUCGGUGGAAACCCCUUGGCUAGAGUCCGGAAGAGGAGAGUGGAAAUUCCUGGUGUAGCGGUGAAAUGCGCAGAUAUCAGGAAGAACACCAAUGGCGAAGGCAGCUCUCUGGGACGGUACUGACACUGAGACGCGAAAGCGUGGGGAGCGAACAGG
rnacentral:rRNA from 1 species